UACAGAGGUCUCAAGCGUUGUUCGGAUUCAUUGGGCGUAAAGGGUGCGUAGGCGGCGCGGUAAGUCGGGUGUGAAAUCUUGGAGCUUAACUCCGAAACUGCAUUCGAUACUGCCGUGCUUGAGGACUGGAGAGGAGACUGGAAUUCAUGGUGUAGCAGUGAAAUGCGUAGAGAUCAUGAGGAAGACCAGUGGCGAAGGCGGGUCGCUGGACAGUGACUGACACUCAACUACGAAAGCGUGGGGAGCAAACAGG
rnacentral:rRNA from 1 species